ensembl:lncRNA
CUGACACCCUCAGUCAUAGAGCAGCUUUUUGCAUGUGAUUGGGGAAUAGAGAGUCUUGCUUGGAUUUCCAGCCACAUGGAUGUUAAAGAAGAAGAAAAAAAAUGGAAGUAACCUUCCACCUAUUUCAUAGCAUGCUCUGAAAAGCAAGCACCAUCCCAAUGGAGACUAGAGGUUUACCAGUAAAAGGUAAUCAGGGCAAGUCCCAAGAUCUUUAAAGAUCCCGAGCACUUUUAAGAAAGAAUCAAGUAUGUGAUUCAACGUCUCUGGCAGAACACCAGACACGUAAAUGCCCUCUGCCCCCCGCUUACCCAGAGCCAUCGGCAGGAUAAAAGACUGAGCUAUCUCGAAGUGCCGCAAUACAAGAUGUAACAGCUUCCUACCAACUUGGAAAUGAUGCAUUUUGGGUGAAGUCUGGAUGCAUUUCUUUUUUCCUUUUUUUCUUGCAAUAUUUUGUCAUUCUGUAAGCUCUUGUUUCCCUGGAUAUACUGUGAAUUUGAGAGUCCUGGCCCUUCUUUCCAGUUCUGGGUGAAGGCAGAGUUAAAAUGAAUAUUAAGCUUGUCAAAUUCUUUCAAUUAAUGUGUCUUCUAACAAAAGAACAGGUUACACAGAUGUUCUGAAGAGAAGUUUAAUUUAAACUAUCAGGUUUACCUUGUUUAUUCAAGAACCAGAUGCAACUUCAGUGAAACUUUUAUCAUUCCCUAAGAAUAUCAGAAGAUCUUCUUCAGCCUCUACAAGACCACAGUGUUUCCAGUAAGUGAAAACUUAAUUUUGACUAAGAAUAUUCUGGGUACCAUAAGAGGAUCUUCAAGCAACGCACAACCCAGGAAAGGAUGUGGAAUUACCAAGAGAGGAUAAUGGCUCUGUCCUCUUCAGCAAACAGCGUUGAGAUCUGCUGAUGAAAAGCACUAGAUAAGAGUGAGGUACUAUCUAUGCCAACAGUCAAAUCAGACAGCAUCAUGUAGAAUCUGUUUACUUUUAUAGUGAAAUAUAUUAGACUGUCAAAAGGACACUUCAUCAUCUAUAAUAAAUAUUCAUCUACAUGUAUCAUGUACUUGAGCUGCAUGAAUGAUGAGAUUAGAGUACAGAAAUGAAUGAGAAACUCAUAAGAUAAAU